GACGAACGCUGGCGGCGUGCUUAACACAUGCAAGUCGUACGGUAAGGCCCUUUCGGGGGUACACGAGUGGCGAACGGGUGAGUAACACGUGAGUAACCUGCCCACAACUUUGGGAUAACGCUAGGAAACUGGUGCUAAUACUGGAUAUGUGCUCCUGCUGCAUGGUGGGGGUUGGAAAGCUCCGGCGGUUGUGGAUGGACUCGCGGCCUAUCAGCUUGUUGGUGGGGUAGUGGCCUACCAGGGCGGCGACGGGUAGCCGGCCUGAGAGGGUGACCGGCCACAUUGGGACUGAGAUACGGCCCAGACUCCUACGGGAGGCAGCAGUGGGGAAUAUUGCACAAUGGGCGCAAGCCUGAUGCAGCAACGCCGCGUGCGGGAUGACGGCCUUCGGGUUGGAAACCGCUUUCAGCAGGGACGAAGCUUUUUGUGACGGUACCUGCAGAAGAAGCACCGGCUAACUACGUG
rnacentral:rRNA from 1 species